AGAGUUUGAUCCUGGCUCAGAACGAACGCUGGCGGCAGGCUUAACACAUGCAAGUCGAACGCAUCGCAAGAUGAGUGGCAGACGGGUGAGUAACACGUGGGAACAUACCCUUUGGUGCGGAACAACAGCUGGAAACGGCUGCUAAUACCGUAUGGUCCCUUCGGGGUAAAGAUUUAUCGCCAAAAGAUUAGCCCGCGCUAGAUUAGCUAGUUGGUGAGGUAAGAGCUCACCAAGGCGACGAUCUAUAGCUGGUCUGAGAGGACGAUCAGCCACACUGGGACUGAGACACGGCCCAGACUCCUACGGGAGGCAGCAGUUAGGAAUAUUGGACAAUGGGCGCAAGCCUGAUCCAGCCAUGCCGCGUGAGUGAGGAAGGCCUUCGGGUUGUAAAGCUCUUUAGCCGACGAAUAUAAUGACUUAGUCGGAGAAUAAAACCUGGCCGC
rnacentral:rRNA from 1 species